AUGUUUUAUAGCUCUUUUAGAAUUUUUUCCCUAGUACAGUUUCUGACCUUGGUCCGAAAUUCCAA